rnacentral:misc_RNA from 1 species
AGUUAGGGCUCUAGCUUCUCAUCCUAUGAAAGCCAAUAAGAAGGGGAUGGGGGAGAAACAUGUACCCAUAGCCAUUGAAGGGACAAGAAUCUGUGAUGGUGAAUGGCUUUAUGCAGACACGGAUGGGAUCCUUAUUUCUCGAACUGAGCUAUCUGUCUGAGUAAAGAUAACAUUUUCGAAAAGCCAUUCAUGGCAACUAAGUUAUAUUAUAAUGGUUAUUUGUAAGCUUGUCCUCUUGAGCUGGUGCUUGAUUUUAGAAAAUUGUGUAAAAUGCUAUAAAUUUGCAAGAAUGAAGUAUGGUGUUCUGUUUGGCAUUUCUAGACUAAAUUGAAAGCUCUUUUUGGUGUCUACAAAUGUGGCUCUUGAUUUUGCAGAAUGAAGGCCCUAUUCUUCAAUUAAAUGAAGUUAUCUGGAAUGUCCCAAACACAAAAUAGAAAUGUAUUUUCUGUAAAAUAAACAGUCUAAAUACGAAAAUUUCAGUAAAUUUAAGUGUCUC